ensembl:misc_RNA Metazoa_SRP Metazoan signal recognition particle RNA
GCUGGGCGUGGUGGCGGGCGCCUGUAAUCCCAGCUACUCAGGAGGCUGAGGCACAAGAAUCGCUUGAACCCAGGAGGCGGAGGUUGCAGUGAGCCGAGAUCAUGCCACUGCACUCCAGCCUGGGCAACAGAGCGAGACUGUGUCUAAA